rnacentral:lncRNA from 12 species
AUGGUGUCAUCUCUUUAUGGUUAUAAGAUAGUUGCCAUCAGCUCCCUGGUGUGCAUGCCUCUUCAUCAGGAUCUAAGCCGUGAGCAAAGGGGUCAUUCUGGAAGACCCCAAGAGAUCUUCUCGUCAGACUGCUCCUCACAUCUCGUUGGCCUCAGUGGCUGGCCAACUGUUCUGGCGUUUGGACUACGACCCGGCCGCAUGGAGGGCAGGGGGCUGCCGCGACCUCCUCCAGACCCAACCGUCCACACUGCUGAUCCCGGUGGGAGCCUGGUCCCGGGGGGGUGGGGGGGGCAUUCCCAGGCUUCUCAGGCUUAGGUGCCCGGCUCUGUUUACCGUGGGUGGCCGCACCCUUCCUCCGGGAGGGUGAGUCACCGGCUGGGUGGCGGUGUCUGCAGUCGCACCAGAGUCCCAUGUGCCCCUUUGGGGGGCUUAACAUUGUCCCUUGCAGGAAGGGGUCGCUUUGACCUUCCCGUGGAGGAUAAAGCUAUCAGCAGGGGGUUUUUUGUUUUUUGGUUUUUUUUUCUUCUGUUUUACUGUUUUACAACUUCCUCCUAAGCCUAGAACAAUAGCCUUAUAAACGGGCAGGAAACCUCAUGGGUCUGUGCAUUGCAGGGAAGGGAAAGAGGGCAGCCCGUGGUGCCUGGAGGUUACCCCGACGGUGCGGCCCGGGCCGCUCAGCCGGAGCAGCCAGAGGGCCUGAGGCCUUCACCCAGGCCGAGCUCCCCAGAGGAGCGAGUGAUUCCAGGGGACCUCAGGCUGCCAGGGGGCCCGUGGGGGCAAGCCGCUCGGGUUGGCCAACGUCUGGGGACUAGGAACACAAAGGAGCUGCAAGGUAGAGCUCUAGAAGGAAUGCUAAAGGCCGAGGGGGCGGACGGGAGCCCUGGAUGGGGACAGAUCACGGGCUACCAUCCUUCUUUUUUUUUUUUUUUUUUUAGAGAUUUUAUUUAUUUAUUCAUGAGAGACACACACACAGAGAGAGAGAGAGGCAGAGACACAAGCAGAGGGAGGAGCAGGCUCCACACAGGGAGCCCGACGUGGGACUCAAUCCUGGGUCCCCAGGAUCAGGCCCUGGGUCAAAGGUAGGCGCUAAACCUCCAAGCCACCCGGGCUGCCCUGCCUCCUUUACCCUCAGCCGUGAACUGAUUGCUUUGGAUACUUAUGACCCAUGACACGAGUUGGGCAGUGAUUUUUUUUCCAUAGCACCUUGGACUUUACAAAGCUCUCUUGCCACACUCACCGCAUCCUUUCGGCCCGAAGCUGCAUUCGGAGGUAGGCAAUGUCCCCAUCUGUGAGUAAACAAAGUGAGGCUCAGAAG